rnacentral:rRNA from 1 species
GACGAACGCUGGCGGCGUGCUUAACACAUGCAAGUCGUACGGUAAGGCCCUUUCGGGGGUCCACGAGUGGCGAACGGGUGAGUAACACGUGAGUAACCUGCCCACAACUUUGGGAUAACGCUAGGAAACUGGUGCUAAUACUGGAUAUGUGCUCCUGCUGCAUGGUGGGGGUUGGAAAGCUCCGGCGGUUGUGGAUGGACUCGCGGCCUAUCAGCUUGUUGGUGGGGUAGUGGCCUACCAAGGCGGCGACGGGUAGCCGGCCUGAGAGGGUGACCGGCCACAUUGGGACUGAGAUACGGCCCAGACUCCUACGGGAGGCAGCAGUGGGGAAUAUUGCACAAUGGGCGCAAGCCUGAUGCAGCAACGCCGCGUGCGGGAUGACGGCCUUCGGGUUGUAAACCGCUUUCAGCAGGGACGAAGCUUUUUGUGACGGGACCUGCAGAAGAAGCACCGGCUAACUACGU